rnacentral:rRNA from 1 species
UACGUAGGGUGCGAGCGUUAAUCGGAAAUUACUGGGCGUAAAGCGUGCGCAGGCGGUUCGUUGUGUCGGCGGUGAAAGCCCCGGGCUUAACCUGGGAAUGGCCGUCGAAACUGGCGAACUGGAGUGUGGCAGAGGGGGGUGGAAUUCCGCGUGUAGCAGUGAAAUGCGUAGAGAUGCGGAGGAACACCGAUGGCGAAGGCAGCCCCCCUGGGCUGACACUGACGCUCAGGCACGAAAGCGUGGGGAGCAAACAGG